CCUACGGGAGGCAGCAGUAGGGAAUCUUCGGCAAUGGGGGGAACCCUGACCGAGCAACGCCGCGUGAGUGAAGAAGGUUUUCGGAUCGUAAAGCUCUGUUGUAAGAGAAGAACGGGUGUGAGAGUGGAAAGUUCACACUGUGACGGUAUCUUACCAGAAAGGGACGGCUAACUACGUGCCAGCAGCCGCGGUAAUACGUAGGUCCCGAGCGUUGUCCGGAUUUAUUGGGCGUAAAGCGAGCGCAGGCGGUUUGAUAAGUCUGAAGUUAAAGGCUGGGGCUUAACCAUAGUUCGCUUUGGAAACUGUCAAACUUGAGUGCAGGAGGGGAGAGUGGAAUUCCAUGUGUAGCGGUGAAAUGCGUAGAUAUAUGGAGGAACACCGGUGGCGAAAGCGGCUCUCUGGUCUGUAACUGACGCUGAGGCUCGAAAGCGUGGGGAGCGAACAGGAUUAGAUACCCCGGUAGUC
rnacentral:rRNA from 1 species